ensembl:misc_RNA 7SK 7SK RNA
UCUCUCCUGAAACUGCAUGCUUGGUCGAAGAGGAUGACCAUCCCCAAUAGAAGAAGACCAGUCUUUGGUUAAGAGUAUACGAGUAUCUGCGCUGCCUUGCUAGAACUCCCAAACAAGCCCUCAAAAUAGAUGCUCAAUAAAUAGUUGUAGAUUGAAAAAGAAAAGC